rnacentral:lncRNA from 1 species
CUUUGUUGUUACUACACAGCAGCUCACAACUAGCUCUGUACACUCAAAGGCCCCAGGUAUAUCCACAGUUAAUAAGUAUUGGUUUGUUCGAGGCAUGAGGCAUGACAUGGACCCAGCAAAACCAUCAAAAAUGUCAAUCAUGAUGCUUAUACUACCAUAUGCAAUUGUGACACCAGUGAAGAUAAUGAAAAUGCUCCCAUUAGUACCAAGCCCUCCUUUGAUGAGUGCUUUUGAUUCAAACUGGACUGGAGACAAGAAUUAGGUCCUCCUAAGAGAGGGCCUAAAGCAGUUUUCUGAAUAAACACAACUUUGAAAAUGUUUCUGUGGAGCA